AGUGAACGCUGGCGGUAGGCCUAACACAUGCAAGUCGAACGGCAGCACAGUAAGAGCUUGCUCUUACGGGUGGCGAGUGGCGGACGGGUGAGGAAUACAUCGGAAUCUACUUUUUCGUGGGGGAUAACGUAGGGAAACUUACGCUAAUACCGCAUACGACCUACGGGUGAAAGCAGGGGAUCUUCGGACCUUGCGCGAUUGUAUGAGCCGAUGUCGGAUUAGCUAGUUGGCGGGGUAAAGGCCCACCAAGGCGACGAUCCGUAGCUGGUCUGAGAGGAUGAUCAGCCACACUGGAACUGAGACACGGUCCAGACUCCUACGGGAGGCAGCAGUGGGGAAUAUUGGACAAUGGGCGCAAGCCUGAUCCAGCCAUACCGCGUGGGUGAAGAAGGACUUAGGGUUGUAAAGCCAUUUUGUUGGGAAAGAAAAGCAGCAGGUUAAUACCCCGCUGUUCUGACGGUACCCAAAGAAUAAGCACCGGCUAACUUCGUG
rnacentral:rRNA from 1 species